CUCCUACAAUAUCGAGAUGCCCAAAAUCCUCACAUUCAAAAAUUGAACAUACUUACACGACGUAUAUAUGCUUUCUCAACACCAGUAAGUGCCAAUGUUGCGGACUGCCCUGCUUUGAUAUGGCGACAUGGAACUCGAUUGCGACGUAUUGACAUAACUUUACUUUUAUAGAAUUGUCCAUGUUCAGACGGUCCUAACAUCAUAACAUCACCUUCGCGUAUCAAUCCCCUGAAAUAAGAAUGAGUCGUGGAAGAUGUUUCAAAGUGCACAAUUAGAUUGAUCACAGUUAAUAGAAUACAUGGUUUGGAGAUUCGAUGAAAGUACAAUAUAACUCAUUAACUAUGUUGGUUUCGGUUUAUGUCACGUGUGUAUUGUAUUUUUUCCCGCACAACCAAUAGCAAUGUUUAAACUGAGCAUUUGUUCAAGUUACGGAUGGAUAACUCAACCACAAACUUGUUAUUGGUUAGUUUGAGCGAAAAUACAA